GAGUGAAGCCAUUUCGGCUGUUCCAGCUGUAGUUACCAUUUGACUGGCAGUUCAUGAAAGACCCAUGCAAGACCUGCUGAAGAAUCUUCCAGUUGAGCCCCAUUUACUCCACAAAAUUGUCAGCUAUUACAAUGAUUGUUUUUUUAAGCCACCAACUUGCGAGUUUUUUGAUAUGCAGCAAUAGGAAAAUGAAACAGCAUGAUACCUUUUUUAGGAUACUCAGGUAUCCUAAAACCAACAUUAAACCAACCAACCAACAUUAAAAAUGCUUGUAUGCAAACUGAGAUUUUCUAGAACCGUCUAUGAGAAAUGAGUUUACAAAUGCUGUUUUGUUGACUGUGUAAGAAACAACUUGCUCCUUGGAAAUGAAUAUUCCGUAUAGCAAAUCUGUCCAACACAGUGUGUGAGUAACAAGACAUUACACAGCAUCUAAAAUUAAGUGACCUAUUGCAGAGGACACUUUUGGGAGAAGAAAAUGGAUUGGCUUGACCUCAUGGGAAUAUUCGUUUACAUAUGCUUUGGAUGCAAUGAGCACUUUGCAAGUUUUGAAUUUUACCAUGUGGCUGUUACAGCAGAAGAGCUGGUCUCUUUUCUAAAGAGUAUAUUUGCAUAUGAUAGUUUAACAGCUUUUCCCUUUUGUUCCUAGAAGAUUAAGUCUUAGUCCUAGGAGAAAAUAAAGGUGGUUCCUUACAAUUUGAAAAAAGUGUAAUUUGAAGAUAAGAGUAAACUCUGAAAAGCAGCUUUUAUUUCCAAAACCUCAGGCCAAGAAAUACUGUUUUUCUCUGUAUGUGCUAGCAGAGCUGUCCAUGAUUCUUGGUGGCAGAUGUGUCACCAGAAGCCCUGUGAAGU